GAAUAUGGUGAUAAUUGUUGUCGCCCGAGUCUUGCAAGUAUCUCAUUAUACAAGCUUGAUGGUGAUUUGAUACUUUAUUACUUUCUGAUUC